UUAAGGGCAAUGUUUGAGCUGAAAGUUCCAAUCAUAACAAUUGUAACUAAUGAAGGCGGUUCAGGCAAAACACUUGCCAUUGGAUGUGCAAACAAGUGGUUAAUGUUGGAAAACUCAGCAUUUUAUGUUGCUAGCCCUGAAGCUUGUGCUGCAAUAUUAUGAAAGUCUUCACAAGCAACUCCAAAGGUAUAUGAGAAAUAGUUGCUCAAGUUUGUGAAAAAAAUGGUUUAUCAUACGAAAAUUUAAAUUGAAUAGGCAGAUGAGAAAUUGAGGAUCACGACUCAAGAUCACAGCUCAAGAACAUUACAGACUCUGGAUAGCAUAUGCAAUUAUUCCAGUGUGCUUGGAACCGAUAUAAACUCGAAGGAGACCGCUGAUGAACCAUGUAGGCAUUGAAGCAGUUGCUAGUGAUUUCAAUGAUAACCGUGCUCUCUCAAGUCUGGAUGCAGAAGGUUGCAGUGAAGAAAGAUCGCUUAGGCUAGGUAGCUUGUCAAAAUUACUUCAACAAACAAAAGGCGAAAUCUUGAUAAAGAGCCUAACAAUCGCAUAUGUGGAUGUUUCUUGGAAGGUAGUUCAUAUUGUGGAAUAACUUUUCAAGAAAUUAUAGCUGAAUCUUUUUCCAAUGUAUAAUGACAAUUCAUGAUUUUGUCGGUACCUUUAUGAUUCCGAUAGACUUUCUUAAAACUGUCAUUUCAACAGUGGAAUAUGUGCAUGAUGAAUCACUUGGUAUGAUUUUUAAUGUUGAUAAAAGCACGAGUGAGGAAUCGACAUCAUACUCAUCUGCUACUCCAGAAAA